UUAAAAAAAUUUUUUAGUUUUGGUAGUUUUGAUGUUGCUUCACUUAUCUUGAGAAAAAAAAUUACCAUGGGAGUCAUAACCUUUGGAUGGGAAUCUAUUUCUUAAGAAUGAUCCUGAUUUUGGUAGUUUUCUGAAUAUAAAAUAUACACUAAAACUAUAACAGUUUUUUAAAGCAACUGUUCUUCUGAGUACUAAUUUGUGCUAGUAAAUAAAAAUCCCCUUUAUUACAAGAUUUCUUCUUCAACAAAAAUUCAAGGCUACUAUUUUUUUGGUGCACAUAUGAUAUAUAAAUUACUUUUUCACAAUCAUUUGGACACUGCCUAUAAUAGCAACACCUUUGUGAUUUUGUAUAAAAAUAAAACAGAAAAUUGAAAGGGUUUUUCAUUUUCCAAUUUGACUUUCUCCACAUUGAUUUGUUUAAAUGGAGUAGUAGUGGAUGGGGGUGUAAAAGCCACGUUGCAAUAAUGGCCACACGUAUAUAACGGUAUGUGUACAGAAAACAAAAAGUGACAGGCUAGAAGAGAAGAAGACACUUGGUCCAUUUGGGGGCAUAGAGACUGGAGAGUUAUAGAGGCCAAUAAUUAAUAAUAAUAAUAAUAAUCUUGGCUUGGGUUUGGCUGCCGCAGAAGAUUGACAUUAACUCUUCAAAGAAAAAGAACCAAGUGGGCCAAAAGUCCCUAUAAUAAGAUCCAUAGUGGUCCAUUUGAACUGGAUUCUUGGACCACUUCUAUUCGACCCAGUCCAGUCCAUUAAACAAAACACAACUACGUACUAAGUACUAACCAAUUUCUUUUGUUUUUGUUGUUCGUGUUCCACCAGUCACAACGUGUCCCUCGUUUUUACAAUGUGGUUAAUUAUUGGAGAGGAGACUAGACUACUCUUCUUAUCUAAGAUAUAGAAGAAGACGAGUUGAAAAAUUUAUGUCCUUCAGUUUUUUUCACUCAUUCAUCAUGCUUAGGUAAGGGGAAAGCAAAGGUUGAGCAGCCAUGAGUUCGAGGUCGUAGCAGCAAUGUACAUAUCAGCCACAGUGUAUCGGCCCAGUAGUCAGGAUGCUCUAUUUUGAAAGUAUUUGGGAGUACAAAGUUUAUGUUGUAAAACACUAUUAAACCAGUUUGUGAAUAUUUUGAAAACAGGGGGACCCCAUGGUUAAUACCACUUAUCUUUUAUCAUAUAGUCUAUAUGUCAAAUUUUCAAUUAUCAAAAUUUAAUUAACCACACUUUUGGUAUAAUUAUAUAGUAUCUAUAUAAGAAUUUUAUUAAAUUGCACACACGUGGCGUCCCUGUUGGACAGGGCGUUACACUGAUGGUCUUCAGAAUCAUCAAUAUUUGUUAGGAAGGCACGAGAAUCACCAAUUUUUGGGGUAAGUCAAACCUGUAAUGACACACAACAGCUGUGUGUCCAAGUUUGUGACAAACUUGACAGAUCAAUCUUGGUGUGGGGGAAGCACCUCGGCCAAAGUUUCUGGGAGGGACACGAUUAUUAUAUUGAGAAUUUGAGCCUCUACUUGUUGUAUUGUAUAGAUUUAGUGU